UACAGAGGGUGCGAGCGUUAAUCGGAAUUACUGGGGCGUAAAGCGCGCGUAGGCGGCUUUUCAAAGUCGAUUGUGAAAUCCCCCGGGCUUUAACCUGGGAACUGCAGUCGAGACUGUCUAGCUAGAGUAUGGGAGAGGGAAGUGGAAUUUCAGGUGUAGCGGUGAAAAUGCGUAGAUAUCUGAAGGAACAUCAGUGGCGAAAAGCGACUUCCUGGACCAAUACUGACGCUCA
rnacentral:rRNA from 1 species